rnacentral:piRNA from 1 species
CUGAUACCCAACUCUUGUGCAACUCAUG